rnacentral:rRNA from 1 species
AGCUCCAAUAGCGUAUAUUAAAGUUGUUGCAGUUAAAACGCUCGUAGUUGAACUUCUGCUGUGGCGACCUUGCGCUGCUAAGCUGCGCACGUGUUGGUACAGCAUUCUCUGUUGUUCUACACUUUUCUGUGUGGUGCGAUGGAGGCUUUACUUUGAGAAAAAUAGAGUGUUUCAAGCAGGCAAUGCCUUGAAUACUGCAGCAUGGAAUAAUGAUAUAAACCUGCAUCUUUAUUUCGUUGGUUUUGAAGGAUGAGUGAUGAUUAAUAGGGAUAGUUGGGGGCAUUUGUAUUCGACUGUCAGAGGUGAAAUUCUUAGAUUUGUCGAAGACAGACAACUGCGAAAGCAUUUGCCAAGGAUAUUCUCA